UACGUAGGUGGCAAGCGUUGUCCGGAAUUAUUGGGCGUAAAGCGCGCGCAGGCGGUCCUUUAAGUCUGAUGUGAAAGCCCACGGCUCAACCGUGGAAGGUCAUUGGAAACUGGAGGACUUGAGUACAGAAGAGGAAAGCGGAAUUCCACGUGUAGCGGAUGAAAUGCGUAGAGAUGUGGAGGAACACCAGUGGCGAAGGCGGCUCGCUGGGACGUAACUGACGCUGAGACGCGAAAGCGUGGGGAGCAAACAGG
rnacentral:rRNA from 1 species